rnacentral:rRNA from 1 species
AGUGAACGCUGGCGGUAGGCCUAACACAUGCAAGUCGAACGGCAGCACAGUAAGAGCUUGCUCUUACGGGUGGCGAGUGGCGGACGGGUGAGGAAUACAUCGGAAUCUACUUUUUCGUGGGGGAUAACGUAGGGAAACUUACGCUAAUACCGCAUACGACCUACGGGUGAAAGCAGGGGAUCUUCGGACCUUGCGCGAUUGAAUGAGCCGAUGUCGGAUUAGCUAGUUGGCGGGGUAAAGGCCCACCAAGGCGACGAUCCGUAGCUGGUCUGAGAGGAUGAUCAGCCACACUGGAACUGGGACACGGUCCAGACGCCUACGGGAGGCAGCAGUGGGGAAUAUUGGACAAUGGGCGCAAGCCUGAUCCAGCCAUACCGCGUGGGUUAAGAAGGCCUUCGGGUUGUAAAGCCCUUUUGUUGGGAAAGAAAAGCAGCAGGUUAAUACCCCGCUGUUCUGACGGUACCCAAAGAAUAAGCACCGGCUAACUUCGUG